rnacentral:rRNA from 1 species
UACGUAGGGUGCGAGCGUUAAUCGGAAUUACUGGGCGUAAAGCGUGCGCAGGCGGGCUGUUAAGCCGGCGGUAAAAAUUCAGGGCUCAACCCUGUCGAGCCGUCGGAACUGGCAGUCUUGAGUGGGCGAGAAGUAUGCGGAAUGCGUGGUGUAGCGGUGAAAUGCAUAGAUAUCACGCAGAACGCCGAUUGCGAAGGCAGCAUACCGGCGCCCGACUGACGCUGAGGCACGAAAGCGUGGGGAUCGAACAGG